UACGUAGGGUGCAAGCGUUAAUCGGAAUUACUGGGCGUAAAGCGUGCGCAGGCGGUUUCGUAAGUCUGUCGUGAAAUCCCCGGGCUUAACCUGGGAAUGGCGAUGGAGACUGCGAGGCUAGAGUUUGGCAGAGGGGGGUAGAAUUCCACGUGUAGCAGUGAAAUGCGUAGAGAUGUGGAGGAACACCGAUGGCGAAGGCAGCCCCCUGGGUCAAAACUGACGCUCAUGCACGAAAGCGUGGGGAGCAGACAGG
rnacentral:rRNA from 1 species